rnacentral:rRNA from 1 species
UCAGUGCCGCAGCUAACGCAUUAAGCACUCCGCCUGGGGAGUACGACCGCAAGGUNGAAACUCAAAGGAAUUGACGGGGGCCCGCACAAGCGGUGGAGCAUGUGGUUUAAUUCGAAGCAACGCGAAGAACCUUACCAGGUCUUGACAUCCNNNUGCCCNNCCUAGNGAUAGGNUUUUNNUUCGGCACANCGGUGACAGGUGGUGCAUGGUUGUCGUCAGCUCGUGUCGUGAGAUGUUGGGUUAAGUCCCGCAACGAGCGCAACCCUUAUUGUUAGUUGCCAUCANUUAGUUGGGCACUCUAGCGAGACUGCCGGUAAUAAACCGGAGGAAGGUGGGGAUGACGUCAAAUCAUCAUGCCCCUUAUGACCUGGGCUACACACGUGCUACAAUGGCUGGUACAACGAGUCGCAAGUCGGUGACGGCAAGCUAAUCUCUUAAAGCCAGUCUCAGUUCGGAUUGUAGGCUGCAACUCGCCUACAUGAAGUCGGAAUCGCUAGUAAUCGCGGAUCAGCACGCCGCGGUGAAUACGUUCCCGGGCCUUGUACACACCGCCCGUCACACCACGAGAGUUUGUAACACCCGAAGUCGGUGAGGUANCCUUUUAGGA